GACGAACGCUGGCGGCGUGCCUAAUACAUGCAAGUCGAACGCUGCUUAAGAAGAAACUUCGGUUUUUUCUUGAGCGGAGUGGCGGACGGGUGAGUAACACGUGGGGAACCUAUCUAUCAGCGGGGGAUAACACUUGGAAACAGGUGCUAAUACCGCAUAUGGCUUUUUUUCACCUGAAAGAAAGCUCAAAGGCGCUUUACAGCGUCACUGAUGGCUGGUCCCGCGGUGCAUUAGCCAGUUGGUGAGGUAACGGCUCACCAAAGCAACGAUGCAUAGCCGACCUGAGAGGGUGAUCGGCCACACUGGGACUGAGACACGGCCCAGACUCCUACGGGAGGCAGCAGUAGGGAAUCUUCGGCAAUGGACGCAAGUCUGACCGAGCAACGCCGCGUGAGUGAAGAAGGUUUUCGGAUCGUAAAGCUCUGUUGUCAGCAAAGAACAGGAGAAAGAGGAAAUGCUUUUUCCAUGACGGUAGCUGACCAGAAAGCCACGGCUAACUACGUGCCAGCAGCCGCGGUAAUACGUAGGUGGCAAGCGUUGUCCGGAUUUAUUGGGCGUAAAGCGAGCGCAGGCGGUGAUUUAAGUCUGAUGUGAAAGCCCCCAGCUCAACUGGGGAGGGUCAUUGGAAACUGGAUCACUUGAGUGCAGAAGAGGAGAGUGGAAUUCCAUGUGUAGCGGUGAAAUGCGUAGAUAUAUGGAGGAACACCAGUGGCGAAGGCGGCUCUCUGGUCUGUAACUGACGCUGAGGCUCGAAAGCGUGGGUAGCAAACAGGAUUAGAUACCCUGGUAGUCCACGCCGUAAACGAUGAGUGCUAAGUGUUGGAGGGUUUCCGCCCUUCAGUGCUGCAGUUAACGCAUUAAGCACUCCGCCUGGGGAGUACGACCGCAAGGUUGAAACUCAAAGGAAUUGACGGGGGCCCGCACAAG
rnacentral:rRNA from 1 species